CCCCGAAAGGGAGGAAGCGGUCAAGAAGAUGGAUGGAUGGAUGGGUGCAUGUCAGUCAUCUACUGUGCGGGAGUGGGAGUCGGUGACUAAAACAAACCGUAGCCUUUACAGCAAACCACUGCGCCCUAAAAACAAUAACCAACCUAUAGGUUCCUUUAUCUCUUCCUGACAGCCCACAAUCUCUAAUCUUUGAGGUUUCUUUUCAGUGUUACCCCUACUUUCCACAUACUGACUAUAAUGACUCAGUACAUGUUCUAAUGUCUCUAAAUCCUCCCCACAUUCACACAGACCUGUCUGAUCUCUGGAAUUCAUUUGUACACUUGUCAGCUUCCCGAGCUUGUUGCAUGUUUUCUUCUGAUGAAGUAGCUGAAGAUACCUGGUCAUCUGACCAAUCACAUCGUUCACUGACCAAUGACAGACAGAAGUCCCUUCAUGAUCCUUCUUGAGCAGAUGAGCAGUAGAGUGGCCCUCGUGUCCAGGAGCGUGUGGGAGGUUUGUGAACUAGACUCGCUGUACACUAGCAGUUCUGCGUCAGCUGCAGGCUCAGGGAACUUUCAGAGUCUCAUCUUUGCAAAGUCUUCCGAGGACAUGCUGGGCUCCAUCGUGAGGGCCGUCCAGAGGGAGGAGGACCGAGGAGUAGGCCUGGGAUUUACCGUCUCAGCAGGAUAGAACAUGGCUCCUCCCUCCGUGUUCCAGCGUCGAAGCGCUCAUGCAUGAAUUCAGGAGCUUCACGGACGUGGUGCAGUCGCAGCGCAACAACAGCCAAUCAGAUCUGCACAAUAAUUAAGACAUUGUUUUCUAACAUCAAGGUCACAGCUUCAGAGCAUGCAUUAUGCAUGUGUGAAACGCCCCUCCCGGCACCCCCCCUCACUGCUGCAGAGCUCACAGCUUUGGGGGGGUGGGGGGUCCAGCAGAUGCACACACUGGUGGUUUGCUUUCAUAGUCUGGCAGAGCAGACUGAAACCACAGCUCUACAGCUGCAGCAGAGCAGCUCACACAUCCAGCGUGGACGCUCAAAGCAUGUCAUCCUCCACCGAUGACAGGCAGGUCUCUGGCUCGGAGCUGCGUCUACUUCAGGGGUGUUCCCUCACAGCUUGAUAAAUGUUUGGGGUUGUCCCAGCGUAAAACCACAGAGCGCCAAAGAGCUCCGGUUGGAUUUUUUCUUCCAUUUUGGCAUAAUUUUCCUUUAAAUACAUGAGAUAAUCCUAAUUUAAAAAGUUUUUAUCGUGGGGUCACAUUUGACUUCCUCAGUGUUCUGCUCGCUGCAUUCCCUGACAUUCUAGGCUGAGCAGAACCAGAAUAUGAAACAAACACAUCUGUUUAAUAAAAACGAGUUCUUCUAA